AACGAACGCUGGCGGCAUGCCUAACACAUGCAAGUCGAACGAGACCUUCGGGUCUAGUGGCGCAAGGGUGCGUAACGCGUGGGAACCUGCCCUUAGGUUCGGAAUAACUCCCCGAAAGGGGUGCUAAUACCGGAUAAUGUCUUCGGACCAAAGAUUUAUCGCCUUUGGAUGGGCCCGCGUUGGAUUAGCUAGUUGGUAGGGUAAAAGCCUACCAAGGCGACGAUCCAUAGCUGGUCUGAGAGGAUGAUCAGCCACCCUGGGACUGAGACACGGCCCAGACUCCUACGGGAGGCAGCAGUGGGGAAUAUUGGACGCUGGGCGAAAGCCUGAUCCAGCAAUGCCGCGUGAGUGAUGAAGGCCUUAGGGUUGUAAAGCUCUUUUAACCGGGAUGAUAAUGACAGUACCGGGAGAAUAAGCUCCGGCUAACUCCGUG
rnacentral:rRNA from 1 species